rnacentral:rRNA from 1 species
GGGUGAGUAACGCGUGGAUAACCUGCCUUGUACAGGGGGAUAACACCUGGAAACAGGUGCUAAGACCGCAUAAGCGCACAGUCUCGCAUGGGACAGUGUGAAAAACUCCGGUGGUACAAGAUGGAUCCGCGUCUGAUUAGCCAGUUGGCGGGGUAACGGCCCACCAAAGCGACGAUCAGUAGCCGGCCUGAGAGGGUGAACGGCCACAUUGGGACUGAGACACGGCCCAAACUCCUACGGGAGGCAGCAGUGGGGAAUAUUGCACAAUGGGGGAAACCCUGAUGCAGCAACGCCGCGUGAGUGAAGAAGUAAUUCGUUAUAUAAAGCUCUAUCAGCAGGGAAGAAAAUGACGGUACCUGAGUAAGCAGCCCCGGCUAACUACGUGCCAGCAGCCGCGGUAAUACGUAGGGGGCAAGCGUUAUCCGGAUUUACUGGGUGUAAAGGGAGCGUAGACGGUAAAGCAAGUCUGAAGUGAAAUGCCAGUGCUCAACACUGGGACUGCUUUGGAAACUGUUUGGCUGGAGUGCAGGAGAGGUAAGUGGAAUUCCUAGUGUAGCGGUGAAAUGCGUAGAUAUUAGGAGGAACACCAGUGGCGAAGGCGGCUUACUGGACUGUAACUGACGUUGAGGCUCGAAAGCGUGGGGAGCAAACAGGAUUAGAUACCCUGGUAGUCCACGCGGUAAACGAU